GGUAAGGCCCUUCGGGGUACACGAGCGGCGAACGGGUGAGUAACACGUGGGUGAUCUGCCCUGUACUUCGGGAUAAGCCUGGGAAACUGGGUCUAAUACCGGAUAUGACCUUACAUCGCAUGGUGUUUGGUGGAAAGAUUUAUCGGUACAGGAUGGGCCCGCGGCCUAUCAGCUUGUUGGUGGGGUAAUGGCCUACCAAGGCGACGACGGGUAGCCGGCCUGAGAGGGCGACCGGCCACACUGGGACUGAGACACGGCCCAGACUCCUACGGGAGGCAGCAGUGGGGAAUAUUGCACAAUGGGCGAAAGCCUGAUGCAGCGACGCCGCGUGAGGGAUGACGGCCUUCGGGUUGUAAACCUCUUUCGACAGGGACGAAGCGCAAGUGACGGUACCUGUAGAAGAAGCACCGGCCAACUACGUGCCAGCAGCCGCGGUAAUACGUAGGGUGCGAGCGUUGUCCGGAAUUACUGGGCGUAAAGAGCUUGUAGGCGGUUUGUCGCGUCGUCCGUGAAAACUUGGGGCUCAACCCCAAGCUG
rnacentral:rRNA from 1 species